ACAUGCAGAGAACUUUCCGGAGAUGGAUUGGUGCCUUCGGGAACUCUGACACAGGUGCUGCAUGGCUGUCGUCAGCUCGUGCGUGAGAUGUUGGGUUAAGUCCGUAACGAGCGCAACCCUUGUCCUUAGUUACCAGCACGUUAUGGUGGGCACUCUAAGGAGACUGCCGGUGACAAACCGGAGGAAGGUGGGGAUGACGUCAAGUCAUCAUGGCCCUUACGGCCUGGGCUACACACGUGCUACAAUGGUCGGUACAAAGGGUUGCCAAGCCGCGAGGUGGAGCUAAUCCCAUAAAACCGAUCGUAGUCCGGAUCGCAGUCUGCAACUCGACUGCGUGAAGUCGGAAUCGCUAGUAAUCGUGAAUCAGAAUGUCACGGUGAAUACGUUCCCGGGCCUU
rnacentral:rRNA from 1 species